GAAAUGCGAUAAGUAAUGUGAAUUGCAGAAUUCCGUGAAUCAUCGAAUCUUUGAACGCACAUUGCGCCCUCUGGUAUUCCGGGGGGCAUGCCUGUCCGAGCGUCAUUGCGAACCCCUCAAGCACGGCUUGUGUGAUGGGCCCUCCCGCGUCUUGGUCGUCAAGACGGGCCCGAAAUGCAGUGGCGGCUUCGCGGUUAUCCGAUCAGCCAGAGCGUAUGGGGACUUUCUCUCUGUCACACGCCCGCGGCGCGGACCGACGCCUGUCGACCUUCAUUCAUCGUUUUCUCGGUUGACCUCGGAUCAGGUAGGGAUACCCGUUGAACUUAAGC
rnacentral:misc_RNA from 1 species